rnacentral:rRNA from 1 species
GGGCCCGCACAAGCGGUGGAGCAUGUGGUUUAAUUCGAUGAUACGCGAGGAACCUUACCAGGGCUUAAAUGCAGAACGACAGAGGUGGAAACACCUCCUUCUUCGGACGGUCUGCAAGGUGCUGCAUGGUUGUCGUCAGCUCGUGCUGUGAAGUGUCGGGUUAAGUCCCAUAACGAGCGCAACCCCUAUUUCUAGUUGCCAGCGGUUCGGCCGGGGACUCUAGAGAAACUGCCAGCGUAAGCUGUGAGGAAGGUGGGGAUGACGUCAAAUCAUCACGGCCCUUACGUCCUGGGCCACACACGUGCUACAAUGGUGAGGACAGAGAGCAGCCACUACGCGAGUAGGAGCGAA